AACGAACGCUGGCGGCAGGCCUAACACAUGCAAGUCGAGCGAGGACUUCGGUCCUAGCGGCGGACGGGUGAGUAACGCGUGGGAACGUGCCCUUUGGUUCGGAAUAGCCCCGGGAAACUGGGAGUAAUACCGGAUAAGCCCUACGGGGGUAAGAUUUAUCGCCAAAGGAUCGGCCCGCGUUGGAUUAGGUAGUUGGUGGGGUAAUGGCCUACCAAGCCGACGAUCCAUAGCUGGUUUGAGAGGAUGAUCAGCCACACUGGGACUGAGACACGGCCCAGACUCCUACGGGAGGCAGCAGUGGGGAAUCUUAGACAAUGGGGGAAACCCUGAUCUAGCCAUGCCGCGUGAGCGAUGAAGGCCUUAGGGUUGUAAAGCUCUUUCAGUGGGGAAGAUAAUGACUGUACCCACAGAAGAAGCCCCGGCUAACUUCGUUCCAGCAGCCGCCGUAAAAC
rnacentral:rRNA from 1 species